rnacentral:rRNA from 1 species
AGCUAAUAGAUACCCGGGUAGUCCACGCCCUAAACGUUGCCCGCUGGCUUCGGGGAGAAUCGACCCUCUCCGAGGCGAAAGCUAAACGCGUUAAAGCGGGCCGCCUGGGUAGUACGGCCGCAAGGCUAAAACUCAAAGGAAUAGACGGGGACUCGCACAAGCGGUGGAUCAUGUGGCUUAAUUCGUAGCUAAGCGAAGAACCUUACCAAGGUUAGAAACCCAACUGCACGCUCUGUGAAAGCAGAGUUCCUUCGAGGGUGUUGGGCAGGUGAUGCAUGGCCGUCGUCAGUUCGUGGCUUGAGUUGUUCCCUUAAGUGGGGAAACGAACGCAACCCUCGUUGCCUGUUAUAAGUGUCAGGCGAGACUGCCCCCUCACGGGGGAGGAAGGUGAGGAUGACGCCAGGUCCGCAUGUCCUUCUGAUACCUUGGGCUGCACACGUGAUACAAUGGGCGCUACAACGGGACGCGACGGGGUAACCCUGAGCAAAUCCUAAUAAAGGCGUCCCCAGUUCGGAUUGGGUCUGCAACCCGACCCCAUGAAGCCGGAAUCGCUAGUAAUCGCAGGUC